GCCAGUGUGGCUCAGUUGGUAGAGCACUAUCCCAUACACCGAAAGGUCAUAGGUUCAAUUCCUGUCAGGGCA
rnacentral:tRNA from 1 species